rnacentral:tRNA from 1 species
CCUUUAAUAGUUUAAAUAAGAAUUUGAGUUUUGUAAUCUCGAAGUUACGUAUAAAUGCGUAUAAAGGA